rfam:Triticum urartu cultivar G1812 contig350943, whole genome shotgun sequence.
GCGCAUCUGGUGUAGUGGUAUCGUAGUACCCUCCCACUGUACUGGCCAGGGUUCGAUUCCCUGGAUGUUGCA